ensembl:lncRNA AC105604.2
GUUGGAGCAAUCCUCUGUAGAUGAUAAAUGACAACUGUCAUAUAUUGGAAGUCGAUGGCUGCCGCUGCCUUUCUACUCGCUAGAACUUCAAACAUCUUGUGUUGCUUUUGUAUUCGCUUAUGCAAUGGAGACUAGGUACCUGAACUUACUGACCCUGUGAAGAUACACCAUGAGGAAAGCAUCACUGCCAGGGGAUCCUGACAGCCAAUGCUCCCUUCAGUGAGGAGCCGUAGGAUGGGAGAAUGAACAUGCCUUUUUCUGCCACAAACAAACCAUAAAGGAAAAGACACAUAUCUGAGAGCCAGCAAGAUGGUUCAGUGGGUAAAGGCACUUGCUACCAACUCUGAAGAACUGAGUUGAUCCCCAGGAUCCACAAUGGUAGAAGGAGAGAACCGAGUCCUGCA